GAUGAACGCUAGCUACAGGCUUAACACAUGCAAGUCGAGGGGCAGCAUGGUUUUAGCUUGCUAAGGCCGAUGGCGACCGGCGCACGGGUGAGUAACACGUAUCCAACCUGCCGUCUACUCUUGGACAGCCUUCUGAAAGGAAGAUUAAUACAAGAUGGCAUCAUGAGUCCGCAUGUUCACAUGAUUAAAGGUAUUCCGGUAGACGAUGGGGAUGCGUUCCAUUAGAUAGUAGGCGGGGUAACGGCCUACCUAGUCUUCGAUGGAUAGGGGUUCUGAGAGGAAGGUCCCCCACAUUGGAACUGAGACACGGUCCAAACUCCUACGGGAGGCAGCAGUGAGGAAUAUUGGUCAAUGGGCGAGAGCCUGAACCAGCCAAGUAGCGUGAAGGAUGACUGCCCUAUGGGUUGUAAACUUCUUUUAUAAAGGAAUAAAGUCGGGUAUGCAUACCCGUUUGCAUGUACUUUAUGAAUAAGGAUCGGCUAACUCCGUGCCAGCAGCCGCGGUAAUACGGAGGAUCCGAGCGUUAUCCGGAUUUAUUGGGUUUAAAGGGAGCGUAGAUGGAUGUUUAAGUCAGUUGUGAAAGUUUGCGGCUCAACCGUAAAAUUGCAGUUGAUACUGGAUAUCUUGAGUGCAGUUGAGGCAGGCGGAAUUCGUGGUGUAGCGGUGAAAUGCUUAGAUAUCACGAAGAACUCCGAUUGCGAAGGCAGCCUGCUAAGCUGCAACUGACAUUGAGGCUCGAAAGUGUGGGUAUCAAACAGGAUUAGAUACCCUGGUAGUCCACACGGUAAACGAUGAAUACUCGCUGUUUGCGAUAUACAGCAAGCGGCCAAGCGAAAGCGUUAAGUAUUCCACCUGGGGAGUACGCCGGCAACGGUGAAACUCAAAGGAAUUGACGGGGGCCCGCACAAGCGGAGGAACAUGUGGUUUAAUUCGAUGAUACGCGAGGAACCUUACCCGGGCUUAAAUUGCAGAUGAAUUACGGUGAAAGCCGUAAGCCGCAAGGCAUCUGUGAAGGUGCUGCAUGGUUGUCGUCAGCUCGUGCCGUGAGGUGUCGGCUUAAGUGCCAUAACGAGCGCAACCCUUGUUGUCAGUUACUAACAGGUUCCGCUGAGGACUCUGACAAGACUGCCAUCGUAAGAUGUGAGGAAGGUGGGGAUGACGUCAAAUCAGCACGGCCCUUACGUCCGGGGCUACACACGUGUUACAGUGGGGGGUACAGAGGGCCGCUACCACGCGAGUGGAUGCCAAUCCCCAAAACCUCUCUCAGUUCGGACUGGAGUCUGCAACCCGACUCCACGAAGCUGGAUUCGCUAGUAAUCGCGCAUCAGCCACGGCGCGGUGAAUACGUUCCCGGGCCU
rnacentral:rRNA from 1 species